CAGUGGGGAAUAUUGCACAAUGGGCGCAAGCCUGAUGCAGCAACGCCGCGUGAGGGACGACGGCCUUCGGGUUGUAAACCUCUUUUAGCAGGGAAGAAGCGAAAGUGACGGUACCUGCAGAAAAAGCGCCGGCUAACUACGUGCCAGCAGCCGCGGUAAUACGUAGGGCGCAAGCGUUAUCCGGAAUUAUUGGGCGUAAAGAGCUCGUAGGCGGUUUGUCGCGUCUGCUGUGAAAUCCGGAGGCUCAACCUCCGGCCUGCAGUGGGUACGGGCAGACUAGAGUGCGGUAGGGGAGAUUGGAAUUCCUGGUGUAGCGGUGGAAUGCGCAGAUAUCAGGAGGAACACCGAUGGCGAAGGCAGAUCUCUGGGCCGUAACUGACGCUGAGGAGCGAAAGGGUGGGGAGCAAACAGGCUUAGAUACCCUGGUAGUCCACCCCGUAAACGUUGGGAACUAGUUGUGGGGUCCAUUCCACGGAUUCCGUGACGCAGCUAACGCAUUAAGUUCCCCGCCUGGGGAGUACGGCCGCAAGGCUAAAACUCAAAGGAAUUGACGGGGACCCGCACAAGCGGCGGAGCAUGCGGAUUAAUUCGAUGCAACGCGAAGAACCUUACCAAGGCUUGACAUAUACGAGAACGGGCCAGAAAUGGUCAACUCUUUGGACACUCGUAAACAGGUGGUGCAUGGUUGUCGUCAGCUCGUGUCGUGAGAUGUUGGGUUAAGUCCCGCAACGAGCGCAACCCUCGUUCUAUGUUGCCAGCACGUAAUGGUGGGAACUCAUGGGAUACUGCCGGGGUCAACUCGGAGGAAGGUGGGGAUGACGUCAAAUCAUCAUGCCCCUUAUGUCUUGGGCUUCACGCAUGCUACAAUGGCCGGUACAAAGGGCUGCAAUACCGCGAGGUGGAGCGAAUCCCAAAAAGCCGGUCCCAGUUCGGAUUGAGGUCUGCAACUCGACCUCAUGAAGUCGGAGUCGCUAGUAAUCGCAGAUCAGCAACGCUGCGGUGAAUACGUUCCCGGGUCUUGUACACACCGCCCGUCAAGUCAUGAAAGUCGGUAACACCUGAAGC
rnacentral:rRNA from 1 species